UGAGAUGUAGCUCAGUGGUAGAGCACUUGCCUAGCACACAUAAGACCCUUGGUUCAAUCCCCUGUACCACAA
rnacentral:tRNA from 1 species